rnacentral:rRNA from 1 species
UAACCUGCCCAAGAGAUCGGGAUAACACCUGGAAACAGAUGCUAAUACCGGAUAAUAACAGAUGAUGCCUAUCAACUGUUUAAAAGAUGGUUCUGCUAUCACUCUUGGAUGGACCUGCGGUGCAUUAGCUAGUUGGUAGGGUAACGGCCUACCAAGGCGAUGAUGCAUAGCCGAGUUGAGAGACUGAUCGGCCACAUUGGGACUGAGACACGGCCCAAACUCCUACGGGAGGCAGCAGGC